rnacentral:lncRNA from 1 species
GGAAAUGUUGCUUGCAACGUGAGAAACAUAACAGUGCUGACUGCCAUUAUGUCAAACAUCAUUUCCACGCAUCUUACCAUAAAUGGCCAAAGUAUUCCCAUACGGUUUUAAUAGACUAUUAUAUAAAGCACGACUUGGCCAUUUCACUGUUGUGUACAAUAUACCUGUAACACAUGAUCUUAAGUAGGUCAGGAAGGCCAGCCUUAAAGGAAAAAUCCACCCAACCUUUGACAGUGUUAAAUAACACAUAUGACAACAAUAUUAUUUGUGAACAAAUGUUUCAUUUUGGUAGCAAGAUGAAACAUCGUUGUGGAAAUCUGUUGCAGCUCAAGUCGCAGCUACAAAAUCCUCAAUGCACUCUAUGGGCUCACUAGGUAGCUAGCAAACGUAGCUACACACAAUCCCAAAUACAAUAUCAGCAUGCAAAGCUGUAAAAUCGCCUAAACAAACUGUACUAUCAAUUUAGGAGUCUACAAUUUCACCAUGUUCAACCUGCAGAUCGAUGUGCCUCACAGAGUGUAGUCUGACAUUCACAACGGCAGAUACUUUUGAGGAGAUGGGAAACGUUGCCCAUGUUACGUCAAUGGGCAUCGCGGUGCAUUCUGGGCAAUUCUGGGACCAGGAGCGCCCUCCUUCAUGGAGUGAAUGGGAAUCUAUUGGGCGCUAGCUCAAAAACCCAACAUUAGCACAAAUUUCAUCAACAAGAAGUACAACAUUACAUUUUUUUUCAGUGGCGUGAGAUUAUCUUGCUGUCUGUAAUACCAUGUAGUUUUGGAAUUGUGACAUUACGUACUUUUGAGGAAAAUAGGCGCGUUUCUAGACAUGUACACUGAUUGAAAGCGAUUGCGUGACGAUUAGUUUAGCAACCGCGUGAUGCAGCAUGACAACGUGAAAGCGAUUGGUCACAGUGUGCUGGGUGGGGCAUUAUACGUUCCGUCAUUCAUUUGCUUCCUAUCUCCUUUGUAUAAUAUCUCUGGCAACAGUACCAUGCAAUGCACCCUGGACUAAAGAAGCAGACAAUGUAGUGUGGGUGACUUUAUCACAGUGCUACGUCAUACCGGCCGGAUUUCUGCCUGCUCUUCUCCAAUAACUCAGAUGCAUAUGAAAAUACGAAAUGACCCAGUUUACAAUAAUAUAAACAUACAACACGGCUAUCUGUGGAGGAAGUGUGAUGGUAACAAGCAGCCGAAGACAGACCGGAGUCCACAAGUGGGAGAAAGAAAAGGAGCAAGUAGCCUAGGCAGCGAGGGCUGAGGUGUCGUCUUACAGGACGGGAACCCUGCGCCUCAUCUUAAAAGGAAGGGGUGCCACAGCUUGUGGCAACAUGCAUCGUUGUCAAGUGCCCGAUGACCCUCAUUGUGCUAUGAGGAGGAAUGGGCUGACUCAAUGCCACACCUCCCACACAUUCUUAUGUCCGACUUAGAACAGUGAGACUACAGACGUUGGCAAUUGACCGUCGCACUGGUGCGGUUCUAGCAAACAAGUUUUACUAGAGGAUUUCUCUACGUAGUAAGCCAAUUGAAAUUAUUUUUGGUGAUCUUUCAACAAUAAAGGUCUUCACCAGACACAGUCACACACUCAUACAUACGUAGGCCUACAUCUCAUCCGUCUUUCCCCAGUCUUUCCUGUGUCUCCCCCCUUUCAGACAAAGGAAACAGUGCCUGGGUCAGAUAACCAACCCCCCUCUCUCUCCAGAGACCACUUCCUGUUGCUGUGUUUGUGUGUGUGUGUGUGUCUGUCUUUUCUCCCCCUUCUCAUCUGUCUGACCAUCCCUAAGACACCUGACCCCUCUCCUACCUCGGCCUGGCUCUGCCAGGUGUGGGUCUGUAUCCUGCCCACCUCCCGCUCUCUCAUUCUGUCUGUCUAUUCAUAGCGCCCUCAUUGAACAUGUUUUGGGGCACAGACUCUUGUGUGGUUAUUUCUUUCAACCUCCGCUCUGUCUGUGGCCUGUAUCAAAACUCCAUGAAUACAUGUUAUGCCAAAAGUUCAAAUACAUCAAGGCAGAUGUAUUCUAAUGGGAUUGUUAUUUCAAACUCUGGGUGGCCUUGGUACCUAUUCUGAAUCUCAGGGUAGUUUGUUUGUUAGUCUGUGUCCCUGUAAAGCCAGCACCCAUUGAUAGCAUCAUAUCAUGACCUGGACUGAGAGACUAGGAAAGAAUAGAACCAAGAGCUACUUGAUACAUUGUUAUUAUAGGCCUGUUUGUUUAUUCAAAACAGAGAUGUUUGGUUGGUUGGUUUAUUAAAAAAAAAUGUUCAGGG